AGGGAUGUAGCUCAGUGGUGGAACAUCUGCCUUGCAUGCAGAAGAUCCCAGCUUCAGUCCCUGGCAUCUCCA